AGUAGUGAGGUCCUCACACAAGAAGCCAAACUGCUGUGGAGCUGUUUUGCAUUGUUGAUGUGGCAAAUCUGGAAGAUUCAUAGGACAAGUACAGGAAGUUGGUGUAUGCCAUAACCAUGAGCAUCAAACUUUCAUAAUGCUAUGUGGCUUACAUUUCUUACAAUACCACUGACUUUUGGGCAAACAAGUGUGGACUCAAUCCUCCUUGAGAAGGAAUCAAAGUAGGAGGCUGUGUGAAGUUGACCAAGUAUGCAGUGCUCUCUUGGGGAAGGCCCUGUAACAUCUUAUCAAUUGUUGGGAAAGGCAACAUCAUCUUUUAAUGAAGAAUCUGGGAUGGUACAGAGAAAGUGGUUUAUUUUCUGGAGAAAGCAGUAAGGUCAACUCCAGCUCA